GACGAACGCUGGCGGCGUGCUUAACACAUGCAAGUCGAGCGGAAAGACCCUGCUUUUGUGGGGUGCUCGAGUGGCGAGCGGGUGUGUAACACGUGAGUAACCUGCACUUGUCUUUGGGAUAACUUCAGGAAAAUGGGGCUAAUACCGGAUAGAAGCUCCUGCUGCAUGGGGGGGGUUGGAAAGAUUCGGCGGUUGGGGCUCGACUGGAGGCUUAUCAGCUUGUUGGUGGGGUAGUGGCUUACGAAGGCUUUGACGGGUAGCCCGCCUGGGAGGGUGACCAGGGACAUUGGUACUGCGGUACGGACCAGACUGCAACGGGAGGCAGCAGUGGGGAAUAUUGCACAAUGGGCGGAAGCCUGAGGCAGCGAUGCUGCGUGCGUGAUGCCGGCCUUCGGGUUAUAAACCGCUGUCGCCUGUGACGAAGCGUGAGUGACGGUAAUGAGUAAAGAAGCACCGGCUAACUACGUG
rnacentral:rRNA from 1 species